AAUGAACGUUGGCGGCGUGGAUUAGGCAUGCAAGUCGUACGGGUCGGUGUAGCAAUACAACGGCAAGUGGCGAAAGGGAGAGUAACACGUAGAUGCCUACCCUCUGGUCGGGGAUACCGCGGCAUAACCGCAAGUAAUACCCGAUAAAAUCUCCGGAUCAAAGGUGUGAUUCCGCCGGAGGAGGGGUCUGCGUUCUAUCAGCUUGUUGGUGAGGUAAUGGCUCACCAAGGCUAAGACGGAUACGGGGUGUGAGAGCAUGCCCCCGCUCACUGGGACUGAGACACUGCCCAGACACCUACGGGUGGCUGCAGUCGAGAAUCUUCGGCAAUGGGCGCAAGCCUGACCGAGCGACGCCGCGUGCGGGAUGAAGGCCUUCGGGUUGUAAACCGCUGUCGAGGGGAAUGAAGUGUAGGUGGGUACUCCCAUCUAUUUGACAGAUCCCUGGAGGAAGCAUGGGCUAAGUUCGUGCCAGCCGCCGCUGUAA
rnacentral:rRNA from 1 species